rnacentral:rRNA from 1 species
AACGAACGCUGGCGGCAUGCCUAACACAUGCAAGUCGAACGAGACCUUCGGGUCUAGUGGCGCACGGGUGCGUACCGCGUGGGAACCUGCCCUUAGGUUCGGAAUCACUCCCCGAAAGGGGUGCUAAUACCGGAUAAUGUCUUCGGACCAAAGAUUUAUCGCCUUUGGAUGGGCCCGCGUUGGAUUAGCUAGUUGGUAGGGUAAAAGCCUACCAAGGCGACGAUCCAUAGCUGGUCUGAGAGGAUGAUCAGCCACACUGGGACUGAGACACGGCCCAGACUCGUACGGGAAGCAGCAGUGGGGAAUAUUGGACAAGGGGCGAAAGUCUGAUCCAGCAAUGCCGGGUGAGUGAUGAAGGGCGUAGGGUUGUAAAGCUCUUUUACACGGGAUGAUAAUGACGGUACCGGGAGAAUAAGCUCCGGCUAACUCCGUG